AGCGCAGGCCUUUCAGGCAUCCUCUCCUAAAACUUUACGGGCUGGCCCUUGUGGCCGGCCCUUUUUUUAUGCCCUG
rnacentral:sRNA from 1 species